AUUGAACGCUGGCGGCAUGCUUUACACAUGCAAGUCGAACGGCAGCGAGGAGAAGCUUGCUUCUCUGUCGGCGAAUGGCGAACGGGUGAGUAUAGCAUCGGAACGUGCCAAGUAGUGGGGGAUAACCAAACGAAAGUUUGGCUAAUACCGCGUAAGCUCUAAGGAGGAAAGUAGGGGACCUAAAUAAGGCCUUACGCUAUUUGAUCGGCCGAUGUCGGAUUAGCUAGUUGGUGGGGUAAUGGCUCACCAAGGCAAUGAUCCGUAGCGGGUCUGAGAGGACGAUCCGCCACACUGGGACUGAGACACGGCCCAGACUCCUACGGGAGGCAGCAGUGGGGAAUUUUGGACAAUGGGGGAAACCCUGAUCCAGCCAUGCCGCGUGUAUGAAGAAGGCCUUAGGGUUGUAAAGUACUUUUGUUAGGGAAGAAAAGCUAGUUUUUAAUAAAAAUUAGUGAUGACGGUACCUAAAGAAUAAGCACCGGCUAACUACGUG
rnacentral:rRNA from 1 species